AGCCCAUGGUGUGGGAAAAUCCUCAUCAUGUCCUUAUAUCUCUCCCAUGCUUCAAAAAGCGAUUCGCUGUCUUUUUGCCUAAAUCCGUUGAUUUGGCUUCUUAGCAU